rnacentral:rRNA from 1 species
AACUAACGCUGGCGGCGCGUCUUAAACAUGCAAGUCGAGCGGCAGCACUUCGGGUGGCGAGCGGCGAACGGGUGAGUAACACGUAGGUAAUUUGCCCACGGAUGGGGGAUAACCUUUCGAAAGGAAGGCUAAUACCGCAUAACACCACGGUGUCUAUGGACAUUGUGGUCAAAGCAGCAAUGCGUCUGUGGAGAAGCCUGCGUCCGAUUAGGUAGUUGGUGAGGUAACGGCUCACCAAGCCAGCGAUCGGUAGCCGGCCUGAGAGGGUGAACGGCCACACUGGAACUGGGACACGGUCCAGACUCCUACGGGAGGCAGCAGUUAAGAAUCUUGCGCAAUGGAGGCAACUCUGACGCAGCGACGCCGCGUGUGCGAUGAAGGCCCUCGGGUUGUAAAGCACAACAAACAGGAAGAAGAAAGUGACGGUACCUGUCUGAAGCACCGGCUA